UACGUAGGGGGCAAGCGUUGUCCGGAAUUAUUGGGCGUAAAGAGCGCGUAGGCGGUCCGAUAAGUCGGCUGUGAAAGUCAGGGGCUCAACCCUUGGAAGCCGGCCGAUACUGUCGGACUAGAGUCCGGAAGAGGCGAGUGGAAUUCCCGGUGUAGCGGUGAAAUGCGCAGAUAUCGGGAGGAACACCAAUGGCGAAGGCAGCUCGCUGGGCCGAAACUGACGCUGAGGAGCGAAAGCGUGGGUAGCAAACAGG
rnacentral:rRNA from 1 species